rnacentral:rRNA from 1 species
CAGUGCCGCGGUAAUACGUAGGGUGCAAGCGUUAAUCGGAAUUACUGGGCGUAAAGCGUGCGCAGGCGGUUAUAUAAGACAGAUGUGAAAUCCCCGGGCUCAACCUGGGAACUGCAUUUGUGACUGUAUAGCUAGAGUACGGCAGAGGGGGAUGGAAUUCCGCGUGUAGCAGUGAAAUGCGUAGAUAUGCGGAGGAACACCGAUGGCGAAGGCAAUCCCCUGGGCCUGUACUGACGCUCAUGCACGAAAGCGUGGGGAGCAAACAGGAUUAGAUACCCCAGUAGUCCCUGUCUCUUAUACA